CGGUUUCCAGGUCCCAGCCCACGACCCCUGUGGGCGGCUCAGCGGCCACGUGCUGGGUGGCGGUCCCCUCACCGGCUGCCCUCGCCAAAACAUGGGAUUCCACCCCACUCCACCCCCAGUUACUCGGGCCAGCCCGGACCCUCCACCAGCAGAUGUUUGUUGAGUGCCUACUGUGUGCCAGACAUGUUCCAGGUGCUGGGAAUCCAGCAGUGACAAGACAUACAAAAACCCUGUCCAAAGAAAGUUUACACGUGGAAGGGGAAGACAGCUCAUGUAUAUCUUUGAAGAAGCAAGCUGCCAUGAGUCCUACAGCCAAAGGAAACGAAUUCAGGCAACAACUGAUUGAGCUUGGAAGCAAACUCUUCUCUAGUCGAGUCUCCUGGUGGAUGAGAACCCAGCCCUGGCUGACACCUUGAUUGCAGCCUUACAGAAGACCCAGAACCAUCACAAGCAUCUACACUACUGCUUCAGGAGGCUGAGCUAAGCAUUCUUCGCUAUGAGAGAUGUAAUG